UUAGUGUACUCACAGUGCCUUAGGCUGUGAAUGGACCAGCAUUCACAGAAAGAUACAGUAUUGUAAAGUAGUUACAAAUGUCCUUAGAAAGCAUUUCAGGUAUGAAUUGGGUCAGAUUGAGACACAAAGAAUGAAAAGUUCUGAAUUCUCUCCUGUGAAUAAUAAUAUCCUCAUUUUAAUGGGCUUAGCUUGGCUUUCCCUUCUAUAAGAAAGAUAUUUCCGGUUGUGGGUAAUUGAAGACCGGAUUCAAACUGGCAAUGAAGGAAAUUUACUGGCUCAAUAGAGUGCAGUGGGAGAUCAGGCUUCAGGCAUAACCAGAUCAAGACUACAAUUCUAUUUCCCAUUGAGUCUUUCAGCUCUGCCCCUCUUUGAUUGUCUGCUUCAUUUUUAGCCUGGCUUCCUACACUGUAAAUAAACACCUGAAGCAAUUCCACAUAUAGUAGUUCCUGUGGCAAAGACAGUAUCUGUCCUGAUCACUUUUUGGCAAGAGCAAGGAAAUUUCCCAGAAAUCUUCACAAAAGUCUUGUAUACAUCUCUGGUCAACACUGGGUCAUUUGCCCAUCCUUAAAUGUUUAAAUGUGGCCAGUGUGACAAGAUUGAGCUAACCAGGGCUUAUUCUUUAUUAGCUCAUCCAUACCUCAUGCCUAAAAGGGUGCGGUGGGGAAAAUUAUUACACUGAAGGAGAUGUAGACAGCUGGACAGAGAACCUUCUUUAGAAGUUACACCGCUAGGAAGAAACUUCGUUAAGUAUGAUCAUCCUCUGAGUUGCUACCUCACAUAUAGAAAAAAAAAAAGUACUUCAUGUGGUAGUCCUUCUUUUCUUUUAUGAGGAUGAAACCUUAAUACUAUAGACUGGGAGCCUUAAACAAUACAUAUUUAUGUUCCCACAGUUCUGGGGGCUGACAUGUCCAAGAUCAGGAUGCCAGUGUGGCUGGGUUCUGGUGAGAGCUCUAUUUCUGACUUACAGAUGGCUGCCUUUCUGCUGUGUCCUCAUGGCAGCGAAAGACAGAGAGACAAACAGGAGGAGAACUCUCUUAUCCUCUUCUUCUAAGGCCAUAUUCCUACCGGAUUAGGACACCUCCCUUCUGACCUCAUUUACCUUAAAUUCCCAUCUAAAGGUCCUAUCUUCAGAUAGUCCUAUUGGGCAUUAGGGCUUCACCAUAUUAAUUAGAGGGGGGAACAGAUUCAGCAGAUAGCACUGUUGAGAUGUUAAUCAUUGCCCAAGUAUUUUUUGAGCAUCUGUUCUGUGUCCAAGGGGGACUGGGCAUUGUGAUGGUUGGGGGUUGGGUGGGGCAGGAUGAAAUAUUCACUGGGCGGCAAUCAUAAACUGGAACAAAUGCUGUGAGGUAGAGUAAUGCUGGGAGAACUCCAGAGUGGCCGGGAUCACUGAAGAUUGGAAUGGCCCAAAAACUGUAUGGAGAAUUUGAGGCUUAAGCUAGGAUUUUGGAAUUGGUGGAGAGAAGUAUGAAGUGUGUGAAAGGAUAAACACCCAGAUGAGGAGGGUAGCAUUGGGGCUUGAGGGAAAGGGCCAGGUACCAUGGAGGUCUUACAGAAAAGACUGAGAAAGUUUUGUAACUGAUUGGCAUAGAGGGGACUUCAUAACUGAGACAUGGACUGAAACGAUUUCUUUUUAUUGGGAAACCCAUUCUAUGUGGCAUGAGACAUGACCCAGAUACUGACCAAUCAGAAUCGCCCUUAACAAGUGAUUUGGAGAGUCCAGAUGGCUUUUCUUCCAGGAGCUAUAGAAGCUGGGGUCAUCUUUCCUGGCCCAUCUAAAAUGAAAGAAUAAGGCAAAUAUGAAAAAGGGCUUUGAGAAGAAUGCAGUUGUGUAAAACCCCAGAGGGCCUAGAAAAACAGUGUGUAUCAAGAAAUAAUGCUGAACCCAAAA